UUGGAAGAUCUUCUAAUUGACAAUCAUAUUGUUUUUUAGAAGUAUAUAUCCUAUAUAUAUGGGUAAUUGAUAAUAUCCAACGAACUAAAUCUUAUUCAAGUUCGUUCUUCUCCUAAUGGAGAAAUCCAUUAUCUUAUGAUGCUUCUUUCCUUGAUAUCUUUCAAGAAAACUAUUCUAAAGUGUUACCAAUCCUUGGAUCAAAUCUGAGGAUGUAAAUACUUUAGACGUCUUACUCAUCAACUUACAUUUCUUGAAUUCUUUGAAACAUUUUGCAAAGUAUUCGGACUUGUGUUUAUUCAAAAAUAAACUAUAGUCCAACCGAGAGUGAUCUUCGGUGAAUGUUAUCCAACAUGAGUAGUAUUAUGUUUGUGGACAAGUGCCACUAACAUCUAAGUGAAUUAACCUUAACAACUUUGUGAUUCUUUCUUCUUUCCAAAAGAAUAAAGAUUCGAACAUUUCGCCUCUAUACAAUUUUAACAAGAAGGUAUUGGAUCCGGAUCUAACAAUCCAAAGCAUCCAUCUUUCACCAACUCAUAAUUUAUGUUUUAGAGGUAUCACAACUUUAGUUGGGAUUAGUCACUACCUUGCAACCUUUUUGGGUUUUAAGCAUCGUUGUUUUCUAAACAGUUUAACACUACCAUAUCAUCUCUACUAUAGAGACAAUCAAUUAGAUUACUAUAAUCCAAUCAUUGAUUAAUAAAGAACAAUGUUUUGUCAAACAAAACAUUCAUCCAUCUCUACUAUAGUGACGGAAUUAAAUUCCUUAAAAUUGGAAUGAAAAGACAAUCUUUGGUUUUUCCAAUUUCUUUGGUAGUUCAUAUGAGGAAGUAAGUACCAUCUGCUUUCGCAGAAAUCUAUAUUUUAUUCACUUUCCGAAUGUGAAGUACUUUCUCUUCUCUCUCAUUAAUCUUCUACUUUCUUAUUAGCCACACUUUUACAACGAUUGUAAAACAUAGUUACUAAUACGGAAUCAAACAUUCAAGUAGAAGAACCAACUGUUUUGAACUAUUCAAGAACAAUUUACAACACCUUCGAAAGGUGUGUUCUUGACACUUGCAAGACAUUUUUUGCAAAUACCCCUUCCAAUGUCCAUUUCAUAAAGAAAGUUUGUUCCCUUGGAGUUAAUUUUAUCUUCUUCAUUUGACUUCUCCUUUGACUACAAUAGUCAUGGUCCCUAAACUCCCACUAUCUCUCUUGAAACUUAUUUCAAUUGUGUUAUACACAUCAAACAUUUUUGGAGAGCAUGUGGUUAUUGUUCACUACAUAGUUUACAAUAAACUUAGUGAACUAUAAGGAUAGGGACACAAAGGUGAAGUCCUUGCCUAGUUUCCGUCUCAUUAAGUGGUUUAUCACUUCAACACUUAAUGAUUCAAAAUCAUUAUAAGUCCAUGUUAAUGGACUAUUUUUGUCAACCAACCAUUAUGUUCUAAACAUAACUACAAACUUUCAAGAGUUGUACAAGGCAACUCUCAUUUCUUCAUACAACAAUUUGUAAGUGAAGAAUCAUG
rnacentral:lncRNA from 1 species